GUGCUUGCUUCAGCAGCACAUAUACUAAAGUUGGGAUGAUACAGAGAUUAGCAUGGCUACUGCACAAGGAUGACACGCAAAUUUGUGAAGUAUUCCAUAUAGAA